UGGGGAAUUUUGGACAAUGGGGGAAACCCUGAUCCAGCCAUCCCGCGUGUGCGAUGAAGGCCUUCGGGUUGUAAAGCACUUUUGGCAGGAAAGAAACGUCGCGGGUUAAUACCCCGCGGAACUGACGGUACCUGCAGAAUAAGCACCGGCUAACUACGUGCCAGCAGCCGCGGUAAUACGUAGGGUGCAAGCGUUAAUCGGAAUUACUGGGCGUAAAGCGUGCGCAGGCGGUUCGGAAAGAAAGAUGUGAAAUCCCAGAGCUUAACUUUGGAACUGCAUUUUUAACUACCGGGCUAGAGUGUGUCAGAGGGAGGUGGAAUUCCGCGUGUAGCAGUGAAAUGCGUAGAUAUGCGGAGGAACACCGAUGGCGAAGGCAGCCUCCUGGGAUAACACUGACGCUCAUGCACGAAAGCGUGGGGAGCAAACAGGAUUAGAUACCCUGGUAGUCCACGCCCUAAACGAUGUCAACUAGCUGUUGGGGUCUUCGGACCUUGGUAGCGCAGCUAACGCGUGAAGUUGACCGCCUGGGGAGUACGGUCGCAAGAUUAAAACUUAAAUGAAUUGACGGGGUCAUA
rnacentral:rRNA from 1 species